GCAUAUCAAUAAGCGGAGGAAAAGAAACCAACAGGGAUUACCUCAGUAACGGCGAGUGAAGCGGUAACAGCUCAAAUUUGAAAUCUGGCCUCACGGUCCGAGUUGUAAUUUGUAGAGGAUGCUUCGAGCAUGGUCUGGCCUAAGUUCCUUGGAACAGGACGUCAUAGAGGGUGAGAAUCCCGUAUGCGGCCAGGUGCCUACGCUCAUGUGAAGCUCCUUCGACGAGUCGAGUUGUUUGGGAAUGCAGCUCAAAAUGGGUGGUAAAUUUCAUCUAAAGCUAAAUAUUGGCCAGAGACCGAUAGCGCACAAGUAGAGUGAUCGAAAGAUGAAAAGCACUUUGGAAAGAGAGUUAAACAGUACGUGAAAUUGUUGAAAGGGAAGCGCUUGCAACCAGACUUGCGCGCGGCCGAUCAUCCGGUGUUCUCACCGGUGCACUCGGCCGUGCUCAGGCCAGCAUCGGUUUUGGCGGCUGGAUAAAGGCCCUAGGAAUGUAGCUCCUCUCGGGGAGUGUUAUAGCCUAGGGUGCAAUGCAGCCUGCUGGGACCGAGGACCGCGCUUCGGCUAGGAUGCUGGCGUAAUGGUUGUAAGCGGCCCGUCUUGAAACACGGACCAAGGAGUCUAACAUCUAUGCGAGUGUUUGGGUGUCAAACCCAUACGCGUAAUGAAAGUGAACGGAGGUGAGAACCCUUAAGGGUGCAUCAUCGACCGGUCCUGAAGUUUACGGAAGGAUCUGAGUAAGAGCAUAGCUGUUGGGACCCGAAAGAUGGUGAACUAUGCCUGAAUAGGGUGAAGCCAGAGGAAACUCUGGUGGAGGCUCGCAGCGGUUCUGACGUGCAAAUCGAUCGUCAAAUUUGGGUAUAGGGGCGAAAGACUAAUCGAACCAUCUAGUAGCUGGUUCUGCC
rnacentral:rRNA from 1 species